rnacentral:rRNA from 1 species
AUGCCCGCAGGAGGUUGGUCUGAUCUCCCGCCGGAUCUGGCCCGCGAGAUCUCCCGCCGCCUGCAGCACGACGCCGUCGACUUAGUCCGCUUCCACGCCGUGUGCAAGCCAUGGCGGGACUCCCGGACGACAACGGCGACCGACCAGUUUCUGCCCUGGCUCGUCACCGCGGUGAAGGAGGACGAGACGCGCCUGGAGAUGAGAUGCGUCCUCUCGGGGACCAACUACCGCUCGCAGCCGCUGCUAUCCGAGCCGGCCCGGUGGAACUGGGUGACCGGCUCCGGCGGCACCGCUCUCCGGUUCCUGACCAUCGAACGCCUCCGCCCUAGUCUCCAUGACCCUCUCAUCGGAUCAGCCGAACACCUGCCUCUACUCCCGCAAUCCGUCGGCCGGUGGGGGGAGGAGAUCGACCCCCACGGCGUCAUCAACGGCAACGGUGCAACCCUUCUCUACAGCAUCUCCACCACCGGCGACAUGGUUGGGCACAGGCCCACAGCCAGGUUCACAGCGGCUCUACUUCGCCCCGGCGACGCAGAGUGGACAAUCCUCGAGAGGAUCCUCGAGCAUAAGUAUGAGCAUCGGUUCGGGACCUGGUCACUUCGUCAGCCUGUUUUGACGUCUGUCACAUACCACGAUGGUAAGAUCCUGGUCGUCAUGAAGGAUGACCAACCGUGGCGCCUCGCCACACCAAACUGCAAUAUCACCUGCGAUGAGCUUGUCAAGAGCCAGGGGCCGCCGGCGGUGCAGGUGUGGUUUGGCGAAUCCACCUGCAAUUACAGCUACGUCCUUGAGUCCCGUGGCGAGAUUCUACGGCUGUCAAUCAACACCUGGGAAUAUAACAGGUAUCUCAAGGGGACAAACCCCUACCUUCUCAAAGUCAAGGUGUCACUGCAGGCACUCGAGGGGCAACUAUUGUCAGAAUCGUCACCACUGGAGAAGAUGAGAUGGGUGAGAAGGGAUGGCCGUAGUCUGGCCGAUCGCGUGCUUUUCCUCGGUAUGUGCCAUAGCUUUGUUGUGGAUGCGGGGCGGGUUCCCAACGUCCAUGGCGGGUGUGCCUACUUCGUUUACCACAAUGAUAAUGCCUUUACAUAUGGCAAGCGUGCCGUGUUCCGGUGCAACCUCAUCAAUGGGAGGACAGAGCUUGUACAGCGGCUGCCUCAAUGUUGGGACUACAGAAUGUGCCUGUGGUUCAACCCCGAGUCCGUCAAUACUCCUCCCAAGGAAAUCAGUGAGGGGCCACAGAUGCAGCAACAGCAGAUAGCACCAACAAUUUCUAGUCCUCCAAGGCACACCAUUCACAUUGAGAGACAUCGUGUGCCCAGGUUUAGGGUGCUGGUGCGCAAUCUUCCUCUCACGGUGAACAGCACACAACUACGAUUCUUCUUCGGCGAGCACGGUAAAGUGUCCAGUGCUGAGGUGAUUUUCUAUAAGAAGACCAGGGCCUCACAGGGUAUUGGCCAUGUGACCAUAGAGACAACACAUUCCCAUCAGGAAGAUGCUCUUGCUGCUCUCAAUGAACUGGUUUUGGAUGGAUGUUGUCUCAAGGUUACCUUGAUCAAGGAGGAUCAGCCACCACAACGUCAGCAUAAGCGCAGAUAG